UAGUCGGAACAAGCCAUGGUAUGGUCGGAUGUGCAUGAUUCAUUGAGCAUCGUACAAUUGUGUCUCAUACAUAAACAACAUUUACUGAGGAACAGUAUUCAGGGUUUCCAGCUUGCAGUGCUCCGUCUACCGAAAACAAAUUGAGGAGAGAUCAGAUAAGACCACAACAAAAAUGUCUGCCUUGAAGCUUGUCCUUUUGGUGAUCGUGUUGGUCGCUAUCAUUGGAGGCCAGGAAAACAAAGUUGCCGGUGAAAAAGCUGUCAGAGAGGCGCGAGAGGCUGCAGAUGACGGGGCAGUCGUCUCCGAGUCCGACCCGAUCGCACUCGAGCGAGUCAAGCGCCAGCGCAGAGGGCUGAAGUCUUGGUUUUGCAACAAGCUGUCCGACAAAAAGCCCAACGGGAAAAGAGGAGUGAAGGACAAACUGUUCCAAACCUUCUGUGUCCCUGACGUUGCAGUCACCAUGUAGAACAGGACACUGGCGUUUCGAGCGAGGACAUUGGACGAUGGUGACCACAGACGUCAUGAAGAAUGCCGUCUAGCCAAUGACAGUGGAUGAUAGUCUCUUUGAUUUUGACGCAUAGGACCAUGUUUGUAGACUAAUAGUGUUUCUAAUGAUGUAGGAAUGCAGUGCUAAUACUUUUAAAUGUUUCGUACAAAUAAAAUUUGUAUUCGUUUUCAUCUAUAUAUAUGAUAUCGUUCCACAACGUAGUUGUGAGUAUAUAUUUUACACUAUUAAUAUGUAUUUUUAGUAGACCAAACAAAGUACAAGUUAUCAGUGUUUAUUAGAUUAUGCUGUCAAUCUAUAUCUAUAGUGCAUAUCUAUGCAUUGGGAAGUAAAGGUAAUACUCGAAUGUCACACGAGAUAUCGAUAUAAUCCUAUCCGGAAUUCGAGCUAACGAGCUAAAUGUUUGCGUUUGUUUAGAAAGAAAAGUGUUGCAUUGACUCUGGCCUCUACAAGUUGUAAAUGCCAAAAAUGGUCAAAUUAAUACCAGGAUCUAUGAUAGCAUCUAUGUUAAAAAAAUGUUAAGGUUAGAUAUUCUGGUCAAGUGAUAGAUGUUAUGAAAAUAAAUCUAACGUAAGAAACAAAACAAAAACGAUGAAAACGAUUAAGAAAAACAGAGAACAUGACAUUUGAUAUGAUUUUAUAUUGUCAA